CCGAGAUUUGCCCGGGAAGAAUCCCAUUGCAGUGGCAAACAGGAUGGAACUAUUGAACUGAGGAAAAAAAGCCGGUUUAGUUCCCAAUUAAACUGAGAUAUAAAGGAAUGACUGGCGGAAUCAAAGGCUGAGCAGAAAUGAAAGCAGUGCCAAAAACUCAAGCUCGUUCCCACCGAUCCCGACGACGGAAUGUUUUGUUCAGCAGCGCCGGCUUAUUUUGAAGCUGUGUUAAGUUGUCCGGGGCCAUAGGUAACUGGGCCAUAGUGCUGAGUGAAUGCCCUAAACACCUGUCUUCAGGCAAAUUGGAUGCUAUGACGUUACUCCAGGACUCGGGCCGGUAUGAUCAGCGUUGGCAAAUUGUCGCUUUGCUCCUUCCUGGGCCGACAUCAACACCUUCUCGCUCUCCCGAUGGUAGCCGGUUAGGAAGGUAGAACAAACCUACCCCCGCACUGCUGCUGCAGAACGUAAUGCACCUUCGACGGGAACCAGUGCUGGUGGCGACAAUUUGAUUGU